AGUGUAAAGAAUUGCUAUUUUCUUAUGCAAGUGAUCAGCCUACUGCUAAAUACAUGGCUACAACUCACAGUAAAGCCUGUGGGGCCCUCUACAGGAUAACUCACGCACACACACCCAUAACUGCUAGGCCAGCGCACACACCAAAUUUCCCCCUUUAGCUGAACAUUGUGUGACGGCGGGAUUCUAGAGUGACGGACGGCCCAGCUGAGCCAAUGCAAGAAGACUACCUCCAGUGUGAACCAAUCCGAAGAAUCGAACUUCCAGAAUCAACCUACUUUCUGUUUUGUAUAAAUUGUAUUGUACCGGUUCACUCUUUCUCUUUUCCUGCUGUUCUGUGCGAGCGAAUGGGAGAGCCGUAUUUACGUGUACCAGAUAUUCUCACUCUGAAUAAACUGUCGCUUGUCGUACAAUUUUAACACCUUGUCUGAAUCGAUCCUUAACCGGCUCACCCUUCUAAUAUCCUUUUAUCAACAGAACUUGGUAGCAGAGGAUGGUUUAAUAACGGUCCGGUCGAAGUGAGUUGAUUUGGGUGUGAGAAGGAGAGUGACGGAAGGACGGUUGUAGGAAGACGGGUGAAAGAAAUUCGGGGGAGGACAACAAUUCUGCUCAACUCGGGAAACUGAUCUAAAAGGUGCACCAUAAGAAAGGUAAGCAAAACCUGUUAAAUCAAACUUUGCAUAUUGUCGUAUAGUCUGUCUAAAUUUUGAUCAGUAUUUCCGAGUAAGUAUGAAUUCUUGUGUAAAUUUAUAAUUUGCUGACAAGUUGAAAGUACAGUGAAGUGAACAUAUGUGGUACAAACCGGCGACGGCCGGGUGAUUAAAUCAUUGAUGAGAUAUCAGUAAGGGGAUAGCUAAUUACUAUUCAUUAAAUCUGGCGCCGAGGGGAUAAAUUGUAAUUUUGUCCCGUGACCCGGUCAGCACAGUCUGAUAGCUUUCAAUGAUGAGGGAUCACUUUUGAGGCCUGGAUUAGUUCCGAUAGGGAUUAGGGAUUGAUAUCAGUAAGGGGAUAGCUAAUUACUAUUCAUUAAACCUGGCGCCGAGCCCGCGACUCGGUCGAAGUCCAGUCUGAUAAACAGGUCCAAAAUAAGCUGAUAGGGGUCAGGGAGAUAACGUGUAUUUGUAACUGUUCAUAUUAAAAUGUAAUGUGGUUGUAAUCGUCUCCAUUAAGAUUGUUGAUGGUUUGAGAGACAGAGAGAGAGAGAGAGAACUCAAGAAGGGUUGUUGGGUAAAUCCGAAACUUAUAUGUUGUAUGUAAACUUUUAUGUUGUCCGAAAAUUCUGUGUUGUAUGUAAACUUCCAUGUUGUAUGUACCUAUGACUUCUGUGUUCUGACAGUUGUUAUAGAAUUUUAUUAAUUGGCCUGUACUGAGUUAUUUUAAUAGGAAUGAGUGAAUUGUGAUUGACCAAUAUGUUAAAUUCCUUCGGGACCCUGUUUGUUCUGAAAUCUGCAUAGAAAACUGUCCUAAUUAUAUAUAUAUUGGGUUGUGUAUAGAGGUGAGGGAAAGCAGAGGCUGUGUUUUAACAUGUAAAGGACACGAUUAUGAAUGUUGGAAAUUCUAUGUGAAUUUCGUAUGAAUGACUGUAGUAUUGAGAAAACAUAUUAACCAGAGUUUGCGUUCCAUGAUUUUGAGACCGGGGGAAAUUAAAUUGAGAGAAACGUUUGUCGCGGAGUAAACCGCUAGGUGGGGAUACGUAACUGGGCUAUUAUGCACACGUGCUGAUAGACAAGGCCACCUCAGUAGUCGAAUGACCGUGCAAACUUGAUUGACAGCCGCCGGGCUAAAACACUGAUUUUCGCUUUUUUCAUUCCUGUUGAUAUUGCCUAAAGAGAUUGCUAUAGAAUCGCUCAAAUUUAAAUGCAUAAUCAGGAACAAAAUGACUGAUGUAUAAUUGAAAUAAUAUCUGAAUAUAAUAUUUAAAUAUUGAGACUAAAUAGUUGAAUAGAUCCCUUGGUUGUGCGCUCCACAAAUCCCAUACCGACCCAUGCGUUUUUCUUGAACUAAAACAUACAAAGGAGAAGCUCAGAGAUAAGACAGAGCACGUGCAGCAGUGUCUCUUCGAGUACAUCGUGGGUAUUAAUCAACGUCGGGCGAAGUAUAUGCUAACUAUAUUCAGAUAGAAGGAGAGAAUUCCGAUUAAAACUACGAUUAAAUUCCGAUUGAAUUAAAUAAAAUCACGAUUAAAAAUUCACAAUGGCGACCCUCAAUACUCCAAAGCUGAGGUUUAAUGAGUUCCUAGAACAGAAAAAUAGAAUAUAGAUCAGGGGGACGUCUGCAAGAUGUUCGGUAAACAAUGUUGCACAUAUAUUCCUAAUAAUACCAGUCCAGAUGAUAGAUUGUGAAGUUUAAAAACUAAGGCGGACUUGAUGCACUAUCUGCUAAGAUGAGGUCCACAGGGGGGGUGGAGGAGUCUGUUCUCUUGGCCUGGUUUGGUAAGUGCACUGGUAUGAUGGUUACUGGAUUUCUGACCCUAAUUCUUGUAUUAUUUGUUAUUGAUGUGAUAUGCUGCUUGCAUCAUACCGUGUUUUAAGAAGUCUGUUACAGAUGUGGUGAAGGCUUCAGGCAUGAUGCCUUUUGUUUGAUGCUCCAGUUGGCGAUGCCGAUACUGAAGCAUGCUUUCAGGGGAGGAUGGGACUGACUGAGGAUGACACAUGGUAUGCUGGGUUUGGAGUCCCUGGGUGGCAAGGAGCCCACCUGGUACAGGAUAGGAGUAGCUGAGAGGACUAGAUGGUUUCUAAUAAUUCUUUACUCUGUUUUCCAUGACCAAAGUUUUAUCCUACAUCUUACAUGUCAAUAACAAUAAAGUUUUAUCCUGUUUUUGAUAAGUGACACCCUUGUGGGUGACAAAAGGGGGAAACAAAGGCAUAUAUCACUUGUUAUUAAUAAUAAACUUUUUAUUAUUUUCAUGAAAUGCUAUGACUGCUGAAAUAAAGGUUAAUGAGUGACGGUCUUUUUGUUAGAUAACAGGAGCCAGGUGCGAGAUAACGGUAUGGAGCAUGAGACCCAUCUUUCAGUUUUUGCAGCCAUUUUAGGAGGGGGAUCCAGUUGCUUUUAUUGAUUAAGCUUCUCCAUUGGAUGUCGUGUCCCAUCUGGGAUGGGAAGAGGGGGAAAUUAUUGAAAUUAUUUUUCUUUGUGGGCCAUUUCCGUAUAGACAGCCUAAACAAGGUAUUUUUCCUUUUUGGAUUAUGUUUUCGUUUUUGCUUGAAGUAAUGUAUCUGGACUAUAUCUCUUAGGAGAUGUGAAGAGAGGGAAUCGCAACUUUUUCCUGCUGGAAAAAGUUGGCUUAUGUGGACAAUCAUUUUACUUUUAUUUUGAGAUGUUCUCCGCUCUGUUAAAAUGAGGGUUGUAAGUUCCUAGGUGGCUGGUAGCCAACUUAGUACAUAGUGGGAUUGAAUGGAGAACAUGAUGGUAAUACAUAUAUAUCUAUACCAGUUUAAUACCGUGCCUUAUUUCAUAGUCCCUUUGGGAGAAGUUUCUCUUUGUGUCUGGAUCUAGUUAGGUUGUGUCACGUCUCUGGUGAGACGUGAAGAGAGGGUUUUGUAAAGAAUUGCUAUUUUCUUAUGCAAGUGAUCAGCCUACUGCUAAAUACAUGGCUACAACUCACAGUAAAGCCUGUGGGGCCCUCUACAGGAUAACUCACGCACACACACCCAUAACUGCUAGGCCAGCGCACACACCAAAUUUCCCCCUUUAGCUGAACAUUGUGUGACGGCGGGAUUCUAGAGUGACGGACGGCCCAGCUGAGCCAAUGCAAGAAGACUACCUCCAGUGUGAACCAAUCCGAAGAAUCGAACUUCCAGAAUCAACCUACUUUCUGUUUUGUAUAAAUUGUAUUGUACCGGUUCACUCUUUCUCUUUUCCUGCUGUUCUGUGCGAGCGAAUGGGAGAGCCGUAUUUACGUGUACCAGAUAUUCUCACUCUGAAUAAACUGUCGCUUGUCGUACAAUUUUAA